rnacentral:lncRNA from 1 species
UAGGAAUCCAUUAAUAUUGUACUUCCAUGGUCCACUUAACUAUGGGCUUAUACAUCUUUGCUUGCUAAGAAGGGAAAGAAUGGAGAAGGAAGCAUCACACUGGAGUGCCCAGGGUCAAUGACAGCUGGAGACCAACAAUGGCAACGAAAACGGAACAUGGGACUUACAAGCAUGUGCCACCGCAUCCAAGAUGGCUUUCAAAAGCUGCCAAACAGAGGCACUGAUGUCCUUAAUUAAUGCCACUGACCCAGUGAAUUGGGAUUCUGGAUGAUGUGUCCAAGACACCGAAUUGACUUUAGAUAGGGUAAGUAUGAAGACUUCCAGUUUUCAGGUGGAAAUACAGGCUCUGAACUCUAGUAGAGGCCAACAUAGGAGUGGGUUCAUCAGAGUAUAUGCUAUCUACGCUGGAACAGCACUUGACUCUGGUGGAGGUCAGGGUAGGGGCAGAGAUGAGGGUCCAGCUCACGUCCUGGGCUGUAGCCAUACAGAGUAUGCAGAUGGGGAUAGGGGAUCAGUCCUAAUGGGCAGGUCAUACUGAGCUCUAGAUGAGCUCUUGCAUGUGAAAUUCCAGGCUCUUGGCGAGGACUUCACAGUGAAGUUUCAUGCUGAAAGGGGAAGAGAUGCUUUAGAAUGAUGAACAGGGUUCCAGGGCCAAAAGCUCCCGGGAGUAACAGGGUUGCCCCUCUGUCUACUGCACUUAGGAAAGCCCUUUUCUUCAGCUCCCUCCGGCCCCUUCUGAGAAGUCAAGACCAGCUAGGACUAUAUGUGAAAGAAAACAUUUAUUGCAGGAGUCCUCCUGGAGCUCAGGGCAAGAAAUAAUUUUCUGGAACAAUAAGAGAGGGAAGGUUGGGCAGUCUGCAAAGUGAACAGCUGACUGAACUGAUAGUGGAAUUACAUGGCCUGGGAUCAACCAUAGUUUGGUCCUUCUGUCUGUCCCUCAAUUAACCCCUUUGUGCCUCGGUUUCCCUACCCGUCAACCAUGAUCACUGUACUGUCUUCAGAGGUUGGGGGACGGGGGGGGGGGAGUCCGUGAGACUCUGAGAAGCAGGCAUGGAGAGCUCAGAGGCAACACUCACUAAAUAUUCACAAUCACCAUUGUUACUGUAGCCAGGCAGUUUGAGAAGCCUGGGGAUUCUGGAUCCAGAAGGUUCCCUGGUGGCCUUGGAGCAGCUGAGCCAGCUGCUUGCUGGUGGGUGGGGAAAGAGAGGCUCAGUCACACAGCUCCCCGCGUGUUGCUCCUGCUUAGAUGUGUGGGGCCCAUUAUGGAAAGCUCAUUUCUUUCUCUGCAAAACAUCAUGGGCCCCCUGCCGUGCUCCUCCCUCUGUCCACCUGGGCCUGUUUCUGGGACAGCUGCUGUGUCAGGGGCGAUGGCCUGGGAGCUCGUGAAAGGACCACCUGUUCCUGUUGCUUCACUCCCAC